rnacentral:lncRNA from 1 species
AUGCAGUGGGAAGAAAGAGAAAGAAGAAGAAGAAGAAGAAGAAGAAGAAGAAGAAGAAGAAGAAGAAGAAGAAGAAGAAGAAGAAGAAGAAGAAGAAGAAGAAGAAGAAGAAGAAGAAGAAGAAGAAGAAGAAGAAGAAGAAGAAGAAGAAGAAGAAGAAGAAGAAGAAGAAGAAGAAGAAGAAGAAGAAGAAGAAGAAGAAGAAGAAGAAGAAGAAAAGAAGAAGAAGAAGAAGAAGAAAAGAAGAAGAAGAAGAAGAAGAAGAAGAAGAAAAGAAGAAGAAGAAGAAGAAGAAGAAGAAGAAGAAGAAGAAGGAGAAAAGAAGAAGAAGAAGAAGGAGAAAAGAAGAAGAAGAAGAAGGAGAAAAGAAGAAGAGAAGAAGGAGAAAAGAAGAAGAAGAAGGAGAAGAAAAGAAGAAGAGAAGAAGAAGAGAAGAAGAAGAAGAAGAAGAGAAGAAGAAGAAGAAAAGAAGAGAAGAAGAAGAAGAAGAAGAAGGAGAAAAGAAGAAGAAGAAGAAGGAGAAAAGAAGAAGAAGAAGAAGGAGAAAAGAAGAAGCAGAAGAAGGAGAAAAGAAGAAGCAGAAGCAGAAGAAAAAGAAGAAGAGAAGAAGAAGAAGAAGAAGAGAAGAAGAAGAAGAAGAAGAAGAAGAAGAAGAAGAAGAAGAAGAAGAAGAAGAAGGAGAAAAGAAGAAGAAGAAGGAGAAAAGAAGAAGAAGAAGGAGAAGAAAAGAAGAGAAGAAGAAGAAGAAAAGAGAAGAAGAAAAGAAGAAAAGAAGAGAAGAAGAAGAGAGAAGAAGAAAGAGAAAAGAAGAAAAGAAAAGAAGAGAGAAGAAGAAAGAAGAGAAAGAGAAAAGAGAGAAGAAGAAGAAGAAGAAGAAAAGAAGAGAAAAGAAGAAGAAGAAAAGAAAAGAAGAGAAGAGAAGAAGAAGAAGAAGAGAAGAAAAAAGAAGAAAAGAGAGAAGCAGAAGAAAAGAAGAGAAAAGAAGAAGCAGAAGAAAAAGAAGAAGAGAGCAGAAGAGAAGAAGAGAAGAAGAAUAAGAAGAAGAAGAAAAAAGAAAAGAAGAGAAGAAUAGAAGAAAAAGAAGAGAAAGAAGAGAAGAGAAUAAGAAGAAGAAGAAGAGAAGAAGAAAAAAGAGAAAAAAAAGAAGAAGAAGAGAAGAAAGAAGAAAAGAAAGAAAAGAAGAAGAAAGAAGAAGAAGAGAAGAAGAAGAAGAGAAGAAGAAGAAGAAGAAGAAGAAGAAGAAGAAGAAUAAGAGAAGAAGAAGAAGAGAAGAGAAGAAGAAGAAGAAGAAGAAGAAGAAGAAGAAAAGAAGAAGAAGAAGAAGAAGAAGAAGAAGAAGAAGAAGAAGAAGAAGAAGAAAGAGAAGAGAAGAAGAAGAAAGAAGAAGAAGAAGAAGAGAAGAAGAAGAGAAGAAGAAGAAGAAGAAGAAGAGAAGAAGAAGAAGAAGAAGAAAAGAAGAAGAAGAAGAAAGGAGAAGAAGAAGAGAAGAAGAAGAAGAGAAGAAGAAGAAGAAAGGAGAAGAAGAAGAAGAAGAAGAGAAAGAGAAGAAGAAAGAAGAAGAAGAAGAAGAAGAAGAAGAGAAGAGAAAGAAGAAGAAGAGAAAGAAGAAGAAGAAGAAGAAGAAGAGAAGAAAGAAGAAAGAAGAAGAGAGAAGAGAAGAAAGAAGAAGAAAGGAGAAGAAGAAGAAGCAGAAGAAGAGAAGAAGAAAGGAGAAGAAGAAGCAGAAGAAGAGAAGAAGAAGAAGAAGCAGAAGAAAAGAAGAGAAGAGAAGAAGAGAAGAAGAAAGGACAAGAAGAGAAGAAGAAAGAAAGAAGAAAGAAGAAGAAAGAAGAAAGAAAAGAGAAGAAGAAAAGAAGAAGAAGAAGAGAAGAAGAAGACAAGAAAGAAGAGGAAGAAGUAAGACAGAGAAGAAGAAAGAGAAGAAGAGAAGAAGAAGAAGAAGAAGAGAAGAAGAAGAAGAAGAAGAAGAAGAAGAAGAAGAAGAAGAAGAAGAAAGAAGAAGAAGAAGAAGAAGAAGAAGAAGAAGAAAGGAGAAGAAGAAGAAGAAGAAGAAGAGAAGAAGAAGAAGAAGAAGAAGAGAAGAAGAAGAAGAAGAAGAAGAAGAAGAAGAAGGAAGAAGAAGAAGAAGAAGAAGAAGAAGAAGAAGAAGAAGAAGAAGGAGGAGAAGGAGGAGGAGGAGGAGGAGGAGGAGAGGAGGAGGAGGAGGAGGAGGAGAAGGAGGAGAAGGAGAAGAAAAAGAAGGUUUCCAGUAAGGAAAGCAUGAAAUGCAAACCAUUUGUGAGUGUAAGUGUUAGCUGUUUUGCCCUUGCAAAUGGCUGGAUGGGAUUAUCCUCCACUCCUCAAUCCUUUCAAAAGAAAAGAAAAAAAAAUUCCUGCUGUUUGUUGUUACUAGAUCCAGUGACCAGGUCCACACAAGCCCCACAGACUAGGGAGUAG